rnacentral:rRNA from 1 species
GAUGAACGCUGGCGGCGUGCUUAACACAUGCAAGUCGAACGAAGCACCUUGAUUUGAUUCUUCGGAUGAAGAUCUUGGUGACUGAGUGGCGGACGGGUGAGUAACGCGUGGGUAACCUGCCUCAUACAGGGGGAUAACAGUUAGAAAUGACUGCUAAUACCGCAUAAGACCACAGCACCGCAUGGUGCAGGGGUAAAAACUCCGGUGGUAUGAGAUGGACCCGCGUCUGAUUAGGUAGUUGGUGGGGUAACGGCCUACCAAGCCGACGAUCAGUAGCCGAGCGGGGAGGGGGACCGACUACAUUGGAGCUGAGGCACAGCCCCAACUCCGAGGCGGGGCAGCAGUGGAGAAUAUUACACGAGGGGGGAAACCCUAGUGCAGCGACGCCGCGUGAGCGAGGAAGUAGUUCGGUAUGUGAAGCUCUAUCAGCAGAGGAGAAAAUGACGGUACCUGACUAAGAAGCACCGGCUAAAUACGUG